GAUGAACGCAGGCGGCGUGCCUAAUACCUGCAAGUCGAACGAAACUUCUUUAUCAAUGACUGCUUGCACUCCCCGAUACACAGUUGAGUGGCGAACGGGCGAGUAACACGUUGGCAACCUGUCCAACAGGGGGGGAUAACACUCGGACACAGGAGCUACUACCCCAUACACAUGCUUACCGCACGGUAACCCCGCCAAAGGUGGCCAUUCUACCGCAGUUGGAUGGGCCCCAGGCGCAUUAGCUACGUGGUCGGGUAACGGCUUACUAAGGCAAUGAUGCGUAGCCGACUUAGGAGGUUGAUCGGCCACAGUGGGACUGAGACACGUCCCAAACUCCCACGGGAGGCAGCAGUAGGGAAUCUUCCACAAUGGGCGAAAGCCUGAUGCAGCAACGCCGCGUGAGUGAAGAAGGUCCUCGGUGCGGAAAGCCCUGUUGUUAGAGAAGAAAGUCCGUGAGAGUAACUGUUCACGUUUCGACGGUAGCUAACCAGAAAGCCACGGCUAACUACGUG
rnacentral:rRNA from 1 species